rnacentral:rRNA from 1 species
AACGAACGCUGGCGGCAUGCCUAACACAUGCAAGUCGAACGAACCCUUCGGGGUUAGUGGCGCACGGGUGCGUAACGCGUGGGAACCUGCCCUUAGGUUCGGAAUAACUCAGAGAAAUUUGAGCUAAUACCGGAUAAUGUCUUCGGACCAAAGAUUUAUCGCCUUUGGAUGGGCCCGCGUUGGAUUAGCUAGUUGGUGGGGUAAAGGCCUACCAAGGCGACGAUCCAUAGCUGGUCUGAGAGGAUGAUCAGCUACACUGGGACUGAGACACGGCCCAGACUCCUACGGGAGGCAGCAGUGGGGAAUAUUGGACAAUGGGCGAAAGCCUGAUCCAGCAAUGCCGCGUGAGUGAUGAAGGCCUUAGGGUUGUAAAGCUCUUUUACUGGGGAUGAUAAUGACAGUACCCAGAGAAUAAGCUCCGGCUAACUCCGUGCCAGCAGCCGCGGUAAU